GUGGAAGCUCGUCCUGCACUAUACUACAGGUGGGCAGCGAGGGGAGGAGUAAGCUGGCUACUCUGGCUACACGGGAGAGGGAUGGAAUGUGGUUACCAUCAUCCGUCUGCUACAGCAGCACUACAUCAUCCAUCAUAGUGGGACAGAACAUUGACAACAACAUCCUGGUGUUCAGAGUGGAAUAGUGUGAAUAUACAUCCCUUGACGAAAUCAAACCAGAAAAGCAGAAGGACAGCCUGUUGCUACCGUUGUUAUCAUAUUAACCCUAUACCGAAGAAGCUCAGAAAUAUAAAUGUUUAAGAUGUGCUAGUCUCUACAUACCCCAUGUCUGGUGUGAACAUGUACAAUUGAAGGUCUCUACAUACCCCAUGUCUGGUGUGAACAUGUGCAAUUGAAGGUCUCUACAUACCCCAUGUCUGGUGUGAACAUGUACAAUUGAAGGUCUCUACAUACCCCAUGUCUGGUGUGAACAUGUACAAUUGAAGGUCUCUACAUUCCUCAUGUCUGGUGUGAACAUGUACAAUUGAAGGUCUCUACAUACCCCAUGUCUGGUGAAAACAUGUACAAUUGAAGGUCUCUACAUUCCUCAUGUCUGGUGUGAACAUGUAAAAUUGAAGGUCUCUACAUACCCCAUGUCUGAUGUGAACAUGUACAAUUGAAGGUCUCUACAUACCCCAUGUCUGGUGUGAACAUGUACAAUUGAAUGUCUCUACAUACCCCAUGUCUGGUGUGAACAUGUACAAUUGAAGGUCUCUACAUACCCCAUGUCUGGUGUGAACAUGUACAGUUGAAGGUCUCAUCUUUGAAAUUGGGACACGUGGAAAAUUAGUGACUUGAUUCAGACAGAAAUCGCAUAAUGACAAAUCACAACAAAAAAUGGAAAGCCAGAAAGUCUUGUGGCCAGCAAUGUUUUCAUGUGACCAUCCAAGUUGUGUUCAAAGAAAAACAAUAGUUCAUGUUUUAUUGGAACACUGAUGCUGUCAGUCAUUUUAUGUUGAAGGCUUUAAAUAACUAUAUUCAAAUAUAAUAAGAUUAAGAUUACUUGAUAAAAGCAAUAAUGUAAAAUAGUAUUUUAAGCGCAAAAUUUACAAGUCUUUCCAAUUACUGUGUCUGUAUUAUGACAUUUUAGUUUGGAAAUGUUAAGGAAAAUAUAAUGUUAGUAAAUAUAUGUCUAUAAAUGUUGAUUUUAACAUUUGUCAAAGCUGUUUUAAUGAUGCUGGUAACUUUAACAAAAUUUAAAGAAAUGUAUUAUUUUCAUGUAAUGAGACAUGCUUCAGUUUUUUUGUGGCUUAACUUGUAAUUUAGAGGUGGUAGUUACAAGAAUUGUUUAGCCAGAUUGAGAAUGUUUAUGCUAUGGCUUUGAUACUCUUAAGUGUGCCCAUUGGUGUCAGUUUUUUAUCAAGAAUAUUGUUUAUUGUCUUACUAUUUCUUGAAAAUAUGGUUUAAUUUUAGACAAAAUCAUUUAAUCUUCCUUAAAUUGUCUAUUCUGCAUUUAUUACCAGUUAUUUAUUAAUUUGCAUGAAUAUGAUUUAAGAACGACUUUUGUGUUGCUUAAAAUGCUUUAUUUGUUUUGAAACUGAGUAUUUAAAAACGAAAAU